rnacentral:rRNA from 1 species
GGGUUGUGAGGUUAAGCGACUAAGCGUACACGGUGGAUGCCCUGGCAGUCAGAGGCGAUGAAGGACGUGCUAAUCUGCGAUAAGCGCCGGUAAGGUGAUAUGAACCGUUAUAACCGGCGAUUUCCGAAUGGGGAAACCCAGUGUGAUUCGUCACACUAUCAUUAACUGAAUCCAUAGGUUAAUGAGGCGAACCGGAGGAACUGAAACAUCUAAGUACCCCGAGGAAAAGAAAUCAACCGAGAUUCCCCCAGUAGCGGCGAGCGAACGGGGAGGAGCCCAGAGCCUGAAUCAGCAUGUGUGUUAGUGGAAGCGUCUGGAAAGGCGCGCGAUACAGGGUGACAGCCCCGUACACAAAAGCGCAUGUGCUGUGAGCUCGAUGAGUAGGGCGGGACACGUGGUAUCCUGUCUGAAUAUGGGGGGACCAUCCUCCAAGGCUAAAUACUCCUGACUGACCGAUAGUGAACCAGUACCGUGAGGGAAAGGCGAAAAGAACCCCGGCGAGGGGAGUGAAAAAGAACCUGAAACCGUGUACGUACAAGCAGUGGGAGCACAGGUUUACCUGUGUGACUGCGUACCUUUUGUAUAAUGGGUCAGCGACUUAUAUUCUGUAGCAAGGUUAACCGUAUAGGGGAGCCGGAGGGAAACCGAGUCUUAACCGGGCGUUAAGUUGCAGGGUAUAGACCCGAAACCCGGUGAUCUAGCCAUGGGCAGGUUGAAGGUUGGGUAACACUAACUGGAGGACCGAACCGACUAAUGUUGAAAAAUUAGCGGAUGACCUGUGGCUGGGGGUGAAAGGCCAAUCAAACCGGGAGAUAGCUGGUUCUCCCCGAAAGCUAUUUAGGUAGCGCCUCGUGAAUUCAUCUCCGGGGGUAGAGCACUGUUUCGGCUAGGGGGCCAUCCCGGCUUACCAACCCGAUGCAAACUGCGAAUACCGGAGAAUGUUAUCACGGGAGACACACGGCGGGUGCUAACGUCCGUCGUGAAGAGGGAAACAACCCAGACCGCCAGCUAAGGUCCCAAAGUCAUGGUUAAGUGGGAAACGAUGUGGGAAGGCCCAGACAGCCAGGAUGUUGGCUUAGAAGCAGCCAUCAUUUAAAGAAAGCGUAAUAGCUCACUGGUCGAGUCGGCCUGCGCGGAAGAUGUAACGGGGCUAAACCAUGCACCGAAGCUGCGGCAGCGACACUCAGGUGUUGUUGGGUAGGGGAGCGUUCUGUAAGCCUGUGAAGGUGGCCUGUGAGGGUUGCUGGAGGUAUCAGAAGUGCGAAUGCUGACAUAAGUAACGAUAAAGCGGGUGAAAAGCCCGCUCGCCGGAAGACCAAGGGUUCCUGUCCAACGUUAAUCGGGGCAGGGUGAGUCGACCCCUAAGGCGAGGCCGAAAGGCGUAGUCGAUGGGAAACGGGUUAAUAUUCCCGUACUUGGUGUUACUGCGAAGGGGGGGACGGAGAAGGCUAUGUUGGCCGGGCGACGGUUGUCCCGGUUUAAGCGUGUAGGUGUGUGUUCCAGGUAAAUCCGGUUCACUUUAACACUGAGGCGUGACGACGAGGCACUACGGUGCUGAAGCAACAAAUGCCCUGCUUCCAGGAAAAGCCUCUAAGCAUCAGGUAACAUCAAAUCGUACCCCAAACCGACACAGGUGGUCAGGUAGAGAAUACCAAGGCGCUUGAGAGAACUCGGGUGAAGGAACUAGGCAAAAUGGUGCCGUAACUUCGGGAGAAGGCACGCUGACACGUAGGUGAAGUGAUUUACUCAUGGAGCUGAAGUCAGUCGAAGAUACCAGCUGGCUGCAACUGUUUAUUAAAAACACAGCACUGUGCAAACACGAAAGUGGACGUAUACGGUGUGACGCCUGCCCGGUGCCGGAAGGUUAAUUGAUGGGGUCAGCGCAAGCGAAGCUCCUGAUCGAAGCCCCGGUAAACGGCGGCCGUAACUAUAACGGUCCUAAGGUAGCGAAAUUCCUUGUCGGGUAAGUUCCGACCUGCACGAAUGGCGUAAUGAUGGCCAGGCUGUCUCCACCCGAGACUCAGUGAAAUUGAACUCGCUGUGAAGAUGCAGUGUACCCGCGGCAAGACGGAAAGACCCCGUGAACCUUUACUAUAGCUUGACACUGAACAUUGAGCCUUGAUGUGUAGGAUAGGUGGGAGGCUUUGAAGUGUGGACGCCAGUCUGCAUGGAGCCGACCUUGAAAUACCACCCUUUAAUGUUUGAUGUUCUAACGUGGACCCGUUACCCGGGUUGCGGACAGUGUCUGGUGGGUAGUUUGACUGGGGCGGUCUCCUCCUAAAGAGUAACGGAGGAGCACGAAGGUUGGCUAAUCCUGGUCGGACAUCAGGAGGUUAGUGCAAUGGCAUAAGCCAGCUUGACUGCGAGCGUGACGGCGCGAGCAGGUGCGAAAGCAGGUCAUAGUGAUCCGGUGGUUCUGAAUGGAAGGGCCAUCGCUCAACGGAUAAAAGGUACUCCGGGGAUAACAGGCUGAUACCGCCCAAGAGUUCAUAUCGACGGCGGUGUUUGGCACCUCGAUGUCGGCUCAUCACAUCCUGGGGCUGAAGUAGGUCCCAAGGGUAUGGCUGUUCGCCAUUUAAAGUGGUACGCGAGCUGGGUUUAGAACGUCGUGAGACAGUUCGGUCCCUAUCUGCCGUGGGCGCUGGAGAACUGAGGGGGGCUGCUCCUA